AAGUAAAGAUGAAUGAAGUGGGAGAAUUUUCUGUAUAUUCGUAUAUUGUGAACAAUUACAAUGAUUCACUUAUAGUGUAAGAAUACAAGGAAUUUAGGAAAUAAUAUACAAAGAAUCAUAAUUUCCAUUAACUAAGGCAAUUAUAAAUCUACUGAAUCAAUCACAAUCGGUGCCAAGGUUAGAAUCUUCAAUUAUAUCUCC
rnacentral:lncRNA from 1 species